GACAGAAUAGGAUGUCAAAAGAGGAAAGAAUUCAUUGCUAAUAACCAACCACCAUCAACCCAUUAUGUUGUUACUCUGAAAGAACACCGACUUAGCUAGAAUUAUACAGACAUUACUGGCACAGUUACUUGGGCUCUAAAUCUCCCAACAAAUCUCAAAUUUGUCAAGGAAAAUGGGCAUAAAACAUGCUGCAAUCAAGUGAUACUCUCAGUUAACUAUGAAUCUACUAAUAAUAGAAAAGCUGACAAUCUGUGCAAAGUGCUGCAGAUUCAUCACUGUAGCAAUAACAAAUGGCUGUAAAAAUACCAUACGAUUCCUCUUCCUGCUACCCUCAGUGGGAACAAAACUGAUACAGAAGGUUUGGGCUACAAGUCAAAAAAGAAGAUAAACAAACGGAGCUAACAGUUGGGAGUAGGAUUAGCGAAAACGGUCUCAUGAGAUGUCUGUUAGGGGAAUGGACAAGACUGAUAAUAACAAAUGGAAAUAAAGAACAAGCACAUAAACA
rnacentral:lncRNA from 1 species